rnacentral:rRNA from 1 species
GGAGGGGGUUUAGCGUUGUUCGGAAUUACUGGGCGUAAAGCGCACGUAGGCGGACUGGAAAGUUGGGGGUGAAAUCCCAGGGCUCAACCCUGGAACUGCCUCCAAAACUAUCAGUCUAGAGUUCGAGAGAGGUGAGUGGAAUUCCGAGUGUAGAGGUGAAAUUCGUAGAUAUUCGGAGGAACACCAGUGGCGAAGGCGGCUCACUGGCUCGAUACUGACGCUGAGGUGCGAAAGUGUGGGGAGCAAACAGGAUUAGAUACCCUGGUAGUCCACACCGUAAACGAUGAAUGCCCAGUCGUCGGGUAGCAUGCUAUUCGGUGACACACCUAACGGAUUAAGCAUUCCGCCUGGGGAUACGGUCGCAAGAUUA